rnacentral:lncRNA from 1 species
UGUGAGAUAAGAGUGAAAAAAAUUUGAAAAAAAUCUAAAGAAAAGACAAGGAAAAAAUUGAGUAGAAAAGAUAGAAAGAAGAGAGGUGAAAAAAAUAGCAAGUGAGGUAUGCUUGUCCUAGGGUUUGAUUUUUUCAUGUAUUGGAGUAUAAAAUCAAAUCUUAGGUUGUGAAACUUUUAGAGAGAAUUUUUUUGGCAUGAUCUUAGUAGAGAAAUCAAAGGCAAUAGUGCAUUGAUGCGAUCGUUCUUUGAGA